UGGGGAAUAUUGCACAAUGGGGGAAACCCUGAUGCAGCCAUGCCGCGUGUGUGAAGAAGGCUCUAGGGUUGUAAAGCACUUUCAAUGGGGAGGAAAAGUUAGUAGUUAAUACCUGCUAGCCGUGACGUUACCCAUAGAAGAAGCACCGGCUAACUCCGUGCCAGCAGCCGCGGUAAUACGGAGGGUGCAAGCGUUAAUCGGAAUUACUGGGCGUAAAGCGCGCGUAGGCGGUUUGUUAAGUCGGAUGUGAAAUCCCAGGGCUCAACCUUGGAAUUGCACCCGAUACUGGCAAGCUAGAGUACGAUAGAGGGUGGUAGAAUUUCUUGUGUAGCGGUGAAAUGCGUAGAUAU
rnacentral:rRNA from 1 species